AACGAGGCCGACCUGCGGCUGAGUUACCUGCGGAGGGAUCAUUACCUAGAGUUGUAGGCUUUGCCUGCUAUCUCUUACCCAUGUCUUUUGAGUACCUUACGUUUCCUCGGUGGGUUCGCCCGCCGGUUGGACAAAACUUAAACCCUUUGUAGUUGCAAUCAGCGUCUGAAAAAACUUAACAGUUACAACUUUCAACAAUGGAUCU
rnacentral:misc_RNA from 1 species